AUUGAACGCUGGCGGCAUGCUUUACACAUGCAAGUCGAACGGCAGCGCGGGCUUCGGCCUGGGGGCGAGUGGCGAACGGGUGAGUAAUGCAUCGGAACGUGCCCAGUAGUGGGGGAUAGCCCCGCGAAAGCCGGGUUAAUACCGCAUACGACCUGAGGGUGAAAGCGGGGGAGCGAAAGACCUCGCGCUAUUGGAGCGGCCGAUGUCGGGUUAGCUAGUUGGUGGGGUAAAGGCUUACCAAGGCGACGAUCCGUAGCUGGUCUGAGAGGACGAGCAGCCACACUGGGACUGAGACACGGCCCAGACUCCUACGGGAGGCAGCAGUGGGGAAUUUUGGACAAUGGGGGCAACCCUGAUCCAGCCAUGCCGCGUGCGGGAAGAAGGCCUUCGGGUUGUAAACCGCUUUUGUUCGGGAAGAAAUCCUCUGGGCUAAUACCCCGGGGGGAUGACGGUACCGGAAGAAUAAGCACCGGCUAACUACGUG
rnacentral:rRNA from 1 species